UCCGCCCCCUGAGCCCUCCCGGGGCGCGGGCCGCUGGCUGGUUUGCCCAGGGCCAGGCGAGCCGCGGGAAGGGCACCCUGGGGGAAAGCGGCAGGGGACGGUGACGAGCUGCCCUUCGUUGUCAGUCAGGGCCGAGGACCCGGCGACGCUCCCAGCCGGCUGCCCGCGAUCACCCGGCCGCCGACAUGUCAGCCGCCGGCGCCCGAGGCCUGCGGGCCUCCUACCACCGGCUCCUGGAUAAGGUGGAGCUAAUGCUGCCCGAGAAGUUGAGGCCGUUGUACAACCACCCGGCAGUCUGGAGGUGAAUUGCGUGACUGCAAAUCACAACUCAUCAUCGACAUGCAGUCAGAGUAAUUCUGCAAAAUGCAAAAGACAGGGGAGAUGACGGAACUGAGAGUGAUCACAGGACAAGAAGACCUGGGACAUCUGCUGGAAGCCUGCUCUGACUGACUCAAGAGCUUGCAAAGGAUGCGUGGACCAGCGAGACGAUAAGAAGAAGAGAUUAAGUCGUGGACCACUAUGGCUUGA